GGAGCGGUAGUUCAGUUGGUUAGAAUACCGGCCUGUCACGCCGGGGGUCGCGGG
rnacentral:tRNA from 1 species